UUCUUCUCCAGAUCUCGUUGGGAGGAAGGAUGCACAAAGCUGCUGAGCCAUCCAUUCCAGGCCCAUUUUGUACCCUGGCCAGUGACUGGAAGACACUCUGCAACAAUG
rnacentral:snoRNA from 1 species